rnacentral:lncRNA from 1 species
CCCACAUUUGCAUUUCGAGUGAAGGUCACCAGAGAAUGUACUCAGGCCUGACACUGGGAAAACAACAACUCCUACUUGUGCAGGUGCAGUACUUACCCUGCAGGGACAUUGGACACGCAGCAGGGAUUUGUACAGCUCUGAGCGGCUCGUCGACGCCUCUUUCCCGCUUUUACGGCUUUCCUCUCCGUCUCCUCCUCUGCUCCUUUUGUCCCCUCUGACUGUGCACUUGUGCCCUCCUCUGCACCCUUCUCUCUCUGCUCUGCUCCCUUAAGCUGCUCCUCAGGACUCCCCUCUCCAUCCCUACAGGUGUCCGGUGCAUGGCGUUUGGCCAGUGUCUCCUGGGUUGUUGUCUCCCCCUCAGGACUCCCCUCUCCUUCCCUACAGGUGUCCGGCGCAGGGCGUUUGGCCGGUGUCUCAUGGGUGUUGUCCCGGUUGUUGUCUCCCCCUCAGGACUCCCCUCUCCUUCCCUACAGGUGUCCGGUGCAUGGCGUUUGGCUGGUGUCUCAUGGGUUGUUGUCUCCUCCUCACGGCUCCCUUCUCUGUCCUGCAGGUGUCCGGCACCUCCUGGGUUGUCAUCUCCCCCUCUCCGUCCCUACGGGUGUCAGGCCCAGGGUGCUUGGCCGCUGUCUCCUGACCUCCGCCCCUGGAUGUGAAGCGUCUCUUGCGGAUGAAGGGGAUGUCGUGGCGGUGCUUGAUGAAGGGCAGUGCCUCGGGGCUCGUGUGGCUCCACAUGCUGGUGUUGAUGGUGAUGAGCCAGGGCUGAGCGUGCACACGGAGCACCCAGCGGGCGCCUUCUGCCCCCACCAGCAGCACCUGGCCCUCCUGCUGCAAAUCCUGCCAAGACAACAGCUAGAAUCAGGGUUGUCAGGGCGCAUCGAGUUGCCUUGUGUACAAAAUGCGCAGUAUAAAUAAAGUUGCCUUGCCCAAAGAAACAGCAAAUAAAAACUAGCUGCUAGCUCAUACACAAUGCACAGCCAAGGCCUUUUCAAUAUACUUUUUUUGUUCUUCCUUCCUUUUAUUUAGCCACCAAGUGACAAUAGACAUAAAAAUGUCUAUAUACUAAAACUAAUACAACUCAUUUUAAUUGGUUUUCUACUCAAUUUGCGGCUGUUGGUUCCAUUUCUGUUUAGA